ensembl:lncRNA
UCAUAAAUGUUAAUGCAUCAGGUCUGCUUAGCUCAGGAGGUAGAGCAGUUGUCUUGUAACUGAAUGGUUGCAUGUUCGAUCCCCAGUUCCUCUGUGCUGAGUUACCCCUUGGGGGAGAUGUAAGGGGUAACACUGUCAUUUUUUAUCGGCGGUCAUGAAAAUAAAACAUAAGGGGUAACACUGUUGUUUUUUAUCGGCGGUCAUGAAAAUAAAACAUAAGGGGUAACACUGUUGUUUUUUAUCGGAUGUCAUGAAAAUAAAACAAGGGGUAACACUGUUGUUUUUUAUCGGCGGUCAUGAAAAUAAAACAUAAGGGGUAACACUGUUGUUUUUUAUCGGAUGUCAUGAAAAUAAAACACUGGGUAACACUGUUGUUUUUUAUCGGAUGUCAUGAAAAUAAAACACUGUUGUUUUUUAUCGGUCAUGAAACUGUCAUUUUUUAUCGGCGGUCAUGAAAAUAAAACAUAAGGGGUAA